GAAACUUUUCCUCCCAUGCCGCCUUCUUAGUUCUGACAAACUCACACUUGACUGUUCAUAAUUACCCGUGAGAACUAUUGUGUGAAUAAUAAUUUU
rfam:Populus trichocarpa scaffold_2_contig_51, whole genome shotgun sequence.